CGACCAGGGGGACUCUCUCCCAUAAGCAGGUUUACAGCCUACCGCCUAAUUCAGCCACCUGACC
rnacentral:tRNA from 1 species